UGCCCCCCCACCCACGUUACUGUUCAGCAGUUGUUUGGGACCCUGCUGUGCCAUUUGGAUCAUCUGUUCUCUACAUGUGUUCAGCCCAGUGGACUUGUGCUGUGGUAAUAAUGAGGAGAAAGCCAGAAGUUUCUCUGGAGCUGAUAGUCUGUCUGCUGGGAUUAGAGAUUAAUAAGCAAUUACUUCUAUUAGAGAAAGUAAACUGAGGGGAAACUAUUACUCCUGCAAUGACUGCUGUCCUCUGGCUUGUGAAGAGAGAGAGCUGCUAAGGGAACCUGAGACUGCUUAUUUGUAAUGGAGAUUCCUGAGCAUUUGAAGAAUCUACUUUGUGCCUUUCAUCAGAAGCCCUUCAUCAUUGUUUCUCUUAAAAUGAAGGCAGAUUUGACACACAUUGAUAUACAAGCCAAAUCUAAAACUGUGACAGCCAGAUUGACUUUGGGAAAAUGGAGUCAGGAUCAUGCCAGGUGCAUCAAGUUUUAUUUAAUUUAUUUACUUCCCCCGAUUCUACCUGCUGGCAUCAUCCCCUAGUUUGCCCCCACUUUCCACCCAUACUUGCCCCUAAUAUCUAGGUCCUCCAAAGAAUGUCAGUCCUGACCCCAAUUGAAAACCGAUCAUUCAAGAAGGUAGUCAGCAUUUUCAAAGCAUCUACUAGGUGCCAGUCCCAGUGCUAAGUCCUCAGGAUUCAAAUGCAAAGAAUGAGAAGAUCCCUAUCCUCAAGUCUGCAUCCGAGCCUCUGCCAGGUCUUCCCCCUUCUCCUCCAGCCAGUCCUCUUAAUAAUGCAGAGAUGAUAAUGCUCCCCAAUACAACCCUGCCCAAACAUGCUAUUUUUGUGACUUCCCUUUCACUCACCACUUCAGGAAAUUCACUUCCCUUCCCUCUGCCAGUGUUUAAUAAAAUAAAUAUUUCAUAUGCUUGUUAGUAAGUC
rnacentral:lncRNA from 1 species